UCCAUCUUCAUCACUAACAAAAGAAAAAGGGAGAUUUGCAUUUUAAGGUUAGGUUAGAAACAAAACAACAAUAAAACCAUUUGCUGAUACUACCUUUCAUACAUUGUUAUCACAAAUAGGAGAGCAGUACAUAUUGGCAGCCAUGUAGCUUUGUAGUUGCUUCAAAGAACUUAUUUCCUUGUCUGGUGAUUGCUUGGACUUUGAAUACCUCCUAUCCUUAUAGCCAUGGAACACUUGACAUUGACUCCAUUUACACUUGCAGAAACAAAAACAAACAUAUUUGCAACAAAAGACAUCUAGCGGAGGAAUUGCCUGUUACUGAGUACUCUACUGAACUGUCAAUUUGUUCGUUGUCAGGGGGCUAUUUCGAGUUUGGUUGCCAUAAUAAUGGUUGCCUCGCGUAUUGGAAAUGUUUUGCCGAAUCCCAGGAUAUCGCCAAGUGUGCCAUAUUGUCAUAAUCGUUUCUCUCCUUAGGAUGGUUACCAAUAUCCAGUUGAUUUCUAAAAGGUUUUGUUUGAUGUGCUAUAUUAAAAAAACUGAUGUUGGCACCAGCUUGAUGGAAAAGGUCAUUUCCAACGUGGGCACAGGGAAACUUGGAUUUAUUUGGUGAUAGUCAGAUGGUUUUCCUGAAGUUGCAGUUUGAAAUAACCUUUCAAAGCCUAAACUCAUCUUCGUAGAAAGGGACUUGUGAAAAGUAACACUGGCGCUGUAAAUUUUCUUCGUUUGGGGCAAGACGUUGAAUAAACUGUGAUUAUUGGAUGGAAGACAUGGAAUUUCUACACUGUAUUCAUAUUUCCCAAACGGUAUUUAAAAUUCAAAAAUUGAAGUGCAUAUCUGGGCUCCCUUCCUUUCCGUAGCCCCGUUUCCCCUUGACUCAUAAUAAGCCCGUAGGGGGUCACGCCCCUACUGUACGGUAUAUAUAAAAAUAACAUAUACCGAGGUUUGGAGGGCUCUGGCCGGAAAGGGGACGUGGGGGUCCACUUAGUCCGAUGAUGUGUUCACGGAGGGCGACGUGGCUACCGACAAAUCCGAACUAAAGGUUAAUCGCUCCAGUAAAAAUGUUCCAAAUCUUCGGCUCUUCUUCCGGCUUCUCUUAGCCAAUCACCGGGUAAUCUCCCCGGUGGGUCAACAAGGCAGUGUCUCCCCCUGCCUGGGUUGACGGCAACUUUU